rnacentral:tRNA from 1 species
AGGGGCGUAGCUCAAUUGGUAGAGCACUCGUCUCCAAAACGAGCGGUUGAGUGUUCGAUUCACUCCGCCCCUG